rnacentral:rRNA from 1 species
CACGAACGCUGGCGGCAGGCUUAACACAUGCAAGUCGAGCGCCCCGCAAGGGGAGCGGCAGACGGGUGAGUAACGCGUGGGAGUCUACCCAUCUCUACGGAAUAACGCAUGGAAACGUGUGCUAAUACCGUAUACGUCCUUCGGGAGAAGGAUUUAUCGGAGAUGGAUGGGCCCGCGUUGGAUUAGCUAGUUGGUGGGGUAAAGGCCUACCAAGGCGACGAUCCAUAGCUGGUCUGAGAGGAUGAUCAGCCACACUGGGACUGAGACACGGCCCAGACUCCUACGGGAGGCAGCAGUGGGGAAUAUUGGACAAUGGGCGCAAGCCUGAUCCAGCCAUGCCGCGUGAGUGAUGAAGGCCCUAGGGUUGUAAAGCUCUUUCACCGGUGAAGAUAAUGACGGUAACCGGAGAAGAAGCCCCGGCUAACUUCGUGCCAGCCGCCGCCGUAAGAC